AACUAUAAGACGAGAAGACCCCAUGGAGCUUUAAACCUAGCCACACCCAGAAUCUUUAUACCUAACUAUUAUCUGAACCCUGUAAGCUAGGCUUUAGGUUGGGGUGACCGCGGAGUAAAACAAAACCUCCGCAAUGAACGAAACUACCGUCUUAUCUAAGAAUAGCCCCUCUAAGAAUUAGCACUCUAACAUAAAUGAUCCAAUUAUUGAUCAACGGACCAAGUUACCCUGGGGAUAACAGCGCAAUCCACUUCAAGAGCUCCUAUCGA
rnacentral:rRNA from 1 species